AUUGAACGCUGGCGGCAUGCCUUACACAUGCAAGUCGAACGGUAACGCGGGGCAACCUGGCGACGAGUGGCGAACGGGUAAGUAAUGCAUCGGAACGUGCCCGGUAGUGGGGGAUAACUGCUCGAAAGAGCAGCUAAUACCGCAUACGACCUGAGGGUGAAAGGGGGGGAUCGCAAGACCUCUCGCUAUCGGAGCGGCCGAUGUCGGAUUAGCUAGUUGGUGGGGUAAAGGCCUACCAAGGCGACGAUCCGUAGCUGGUCUGAGAGGACGACCAGCCACACUGGGACUGAGACACGGCCCAGACUACUACGGGAGGCAGCAGUGGGGAAUUUUGGACAGUGGACGCAAGUCUGAUCCAACCAUGCCGCGUGCGGGAAGAAGGCCUUCGGGUUGUAAACCGCUUUUGUCAGGGAAGAAAUCUUCUGAGUUAAUACCUCGGGAGGAUGACGGUACCUGAAGAAUAAGCACCGGCUAACUACGUGCCAGCCGCCGCCGUAAGAC
rnacentral:rRNA from 1 species